AAAUCAGGAGGGGGAGAAGAGAUUAUUUAGAAAAGUUAAGUAACAUCACGUAGAAGGUUUACAUAAGUGUAGCAUUUUUGAAAUAUCUGCUGCUAAGGGAUGUGAAACAAAGCGUUAUUUAGGGAAUGUUGGAAGAUUUUCUUCAAAGCAUUCACGUUGGAUUCAUAUUUUUUGUUUUUCAAUGUAUAUUCUGAAUUUUAAUUUGAAAUUUUUAGGGAUUAUACAUUCAUGUGAUGUGAACAUCCACAAUUUUUUAAAAUAUUUUUAGACAUUUAAAUACGCAUUUUGAAAAUGGGAGCACCUAAUAUGAGGUGCUCCCAUAGCACGAGAUAUUCACCCCAUAAGAACGUGAUGCAACACUACAAAUUGUUGAUCACCAAAAAAUACCGCUUGUUAGCAUAUAUAGAUGGAUAGAUGCAACAUUACCCACCCUAUCAACCCCAGCUCACGGAGCAUCAUUAAUUUCCACCGCAUCGCCGCCGCCGCUGUGAGCUGCCACUGUCGGUCGCUAAUGUAUGUGGACAGGGAGAGAGACGUGAUUUAUUCGUACUAC
rnacentral:lncRNA from 1 species